GGCCUCAUCGUCUAGCCUGGUCCAGGACAACAGGUUCUCAUCCUGUAAACUCCGGUUCAAAUCCGGAUGAGGCCACAA
rnacentral:tRNA from 2 species